rnacentral:rRNA from 1 species
AAGAGAUCGGGAUAACACCUGGAAACAGAUGCUAAUACCGGAUAACAACAGAUGAUGCCUAUCAACUAGUUUAAAAGAUGGUUCUGNCUAUCACUCUUGGAUGGACCUGCGGUGCAUUAGCUAGUUGGUAGGGUAACGGCCUACCAAGGCGAUGAUGCAUAGCCGAGUUGAGAGACUGAUCGGCCACAUUGGGACUGAGACACGGCCCAAACUCCUACGGGAGGCAGCAGUU